CUCCAUCGAACAUCCAUCCUCGAUCAAGCAUCCGAUCUAGUUCAUAACAUUGGGUCCUCGAGCAUAGAUCUCUCUCCAGAUAAAAGAACAACCUCAGGUAGUUUGGAUGGGGAUCCCAUGGCUCCAUCCAUCAUAGUGGACGCUCAUCACCUUACUCUACAAGCAGUUUGGUUGGAUCAAAAAUCUGGCUGCAUGUCUGGCAAUCAGAGCUUCCCUCCUCGUCACUAAGGAAUGGAUCCUAAAGCCACCGUCCUGCAUAAGCUGGCACACCUCCUAGGAUAGCAGAUAGAUACGCUGAUGAUCGCACCC
rnacentral:lncRNA from 1 species